UCGGGAAUUUUGGGCAAUGGGGGAAACCCUGACCCAGCAACGCCGCGUGAAGGAUGAAGUAUUUCGGUAUGUAAACUUCGUAAGAAUAGGAAGAAUAAAUGACGGUACUAUUUGUAAGGUCCGGCUAACUACGUGCCAGCAGCCGCGGUAAUACGUAGGGACCAAGCGUUGUUCGGAUUUACUGGGCGUAAAGGGCGCGUAGGCGGUGUGUCAAGUCAGUUGUGAAAUCUCCGAGCUUAACUCGGAACGGUCAACUGAUACUGUCACACUAGAGUACAGAAGGGGCAAUCGGAAUUCUUGGUGUAGCGGUGAAAUGCGUAGAUAUCAAGAGGAACACCUGAGGCGAAGGCGGGUUGCUGGGCUGAUACUGACGCUGAGGCGCGAAAGCCAGGGUAGCAAAAGGGAUUAGAUACCCCAGUAGUCCCUGAGCGGGCUGGCAAGGCGCAU
rnacentral:rRNA from 1 species